rnacentral:rRNA from 1 species
CUCCCGAGUGCUUGCACUCAAUUGGAAAGAGGAGUGGCGGACGGGUGAGUAACACGUGGGUAACCUACCCAUCAGAGGGGGAUAACACUUGGAAACAGGUGCUAAUACCGCAUAACAGUUUAUGCCGCAUGGCAUAAGAGUAAAAGGCGCUUUCGGGUGUCGCUGAUGGAUGGACCCGCGGUGCAUUAGCUAGUUGGUGAGGUAACGGCUCACCAAGGCCACGAUGCAUAGCCGACCUGAGAGGGUGAUCGGCCACACUGGGACUGAGACACGGCCCAGACUCCUACGGGAGGCAGCAGUAGGGAAUCUUCGGCAAUGGACGAAAGUCUGACCGAGCAACGCCGCGUGAGUGAAGAAGGUUUUCGGAUCGUAAAACUCUGUUGUUAGAGAAGAACAAGGACGUUAGUAACUGAACGUCCCCUGACGGUAUCUAACCAGAAAGUCACGGCUAACUACGUGCCGGCAGCCGCGGUAAUACGUAGGUGGCAAGCGUUGUCCGGAUUUAUUGGGCGUAAAGCGAGCGCAGGCGGUUUCUUAAGUCUGAUGUGAAAGCCCCCGGCUCAACCGGGGAGGGUCAUUGGAAACUGGGAGACUUGAGUGCAGAAGAGGAGAGUGGAAUUCCAUGUGUAGCGGUGAAAUGCGUAGAUAUAUGGAGGAACACCAGUG